rnacentral:rRNA from 1 species
AACGAACGCUGGCGGCAGGCUUAACACAUGCAAGUCGAGCGCCCCGCAAGGGGAGCGGCAGACGGGUGAGUAACGCGUGGGAACGUACCUUUUGGUUCGGAACAACUCCGGGAAACUGGAGCUAAUACCGGAUAAGCCCUAACGGGGAAAGAUUUAUCGCCGAAAGAUCGGCCCGCGUCUGAUUAGCUAGUUGGUGAGGUAACGGCUCACCAAGGCGACGAUCAGUGGCUGGUCUGAGAGGAUGAUCAGCCACACUGGGACUGAGACACGGCCCAGACUCCUACGGGAGGCAGCAGUGGGGAAUAUUGGACAAUGGGCGCAAGCCUGAUCCAGCCAUGCCGCGUGAGUGAUGAAGGCCUUAGGGUUGUAAAGCUCUUUUGUCCGGGAAGAUAAUGACUGUACCGGAAGAAUAAGCCCCGGCUAACUUCGUG